AGUGAACGCUGGCGGUAGGCCUAACACAUGCAAGUCGAACGGCAGCACAGUAAGAGCUUGCUCUUACGGGUGGCGAGUGGCGGACGUGUGAGGAAUACAUCGGAAUCUACUUUUUCGUGGGGGAUCACGUAGGUAAACUUACUCUAAUACCGCAUACGACCUACGGUUGAAAGCAGGGGAUCUUCGGACCUUGCGCGAUUGAAUGCGCCGAUGUCGGAUUUGCUAGUUGGCGGGGUAAAGGCCCACCAAGGCGACGAUCCGUAGCUGGUCUGAGAGGAUGAUCGGCCACACUGGAACUGAGACACGGUCAAGACGCCUACGGGAGGCAGCAGUGGGGAAUAGUGGACAAUGGGCGCAAGCAUGAUCCAGCCAGACCGCGUGGGUGAAGAAGGCGUUCGGGUUGUAAAGACCUUUUGUUGGGAAAGAAAAGCAGCAGGUUAAGACCCCGCUGUUCUGACGGUACCCAAAGAAUAAGCACCGGCUAACUUCGUG
rnacentral:rRNA from 1 species